rnacentral:lncRNA from 1 species
AUGCUUCUAUCAGCAUCCCUCUGGGAGCUUAUCUUCAACCCGCCUGAAAUUAUCCGCAGGAUCCACGGUGGCCUGCGCUCACCGAGGGCUCCGGGACAGGCACAGGGCCGGGGCCUCCUGGGUCUCGCCCAUCCUCUGUCCUGGGCUGUUGUGAACUCCUCAAAUCUGAAAGUCCGAGAUUUCCUCUCCGUGUCACGGAUGAGACCACGGAAGCACAGAGAGGUGAAGCGAGGUGCCCACGGUCACACAGCUGGUCCAUGGGGAGCAGGACGUCAGCCCAGGGCGAGCGGCUCCGCCACCUGUGCCGUUAACUCUGCGACGGUGACCAAGUGCUCGGCCUCAUGAUGCUGCCCAUCCUCUGGAGCACUGAAGAUCAAACACGAGCAAGGAAAACAGGAACUAACAUUUAUUAGACACCAGCUGUAUACCAACCAUGCUGUACAGGGCAACCGGACCUUGGAAAUGAAACCGACCAAGUCUGGCCUUCUAGAUUCAGGGUAAGGAACUCCAUGGGGCAGCGGCGGGGGUGUCAGUGCUGGAAACAUGGAGGCACCAGGGCUGGCGGGCCCCAGAGGAGGCUCCCGGCCCCCAUGGAGGGAUGCAGAAGGCUGCCCAGGGACCGAGUGAUGGGUGAAGAAAUGACAAAGAGCAGGUGUUGCAGACCAAGGGACAUGUGCAAAGGUCCUGGGCAAGAGAGGGCGUAACUCCCAUUCUGUUGCUGUCAUUCUUUUUUAUUUUUUAAAGAUUUUAUUUAUUGAUUCAUGAGAGACACAGAGAGAGGCAGAGACACAGGCAGGUCGGCCAGGUGCCCCACAAGGUGAUAUUUUUAUCAGGGAACUCACAAGGCCUCUGCGGGCAGCUCUGUGAGACGCUGUGCCCGCCACGCGUCCUGGCAGUGCCAGCAGGGACUGUGGGGACGGUGCUCAGCCAGGGGGGCCUGCUUACUGGCUCAGCCAAGUUGACACUGAAACGGACACAUUUAUGUAUGACCAACGUCCCACACGUCGUGCCUGCACAUUUUAUAUAUCAUCCCAAUGAUGCGUUUCAUUCUGUGUGGGGUGAGAGGGUUGAUUUUUCCGGCCCAGCAGUCUGCCUGGUGUGUAUGGGGGCUUGGUUCGGGGUCACAGCUAAACCAGACCCUGUCCCUGCCCUCAGGAUGUGCCCAUUAUGGGGCUCAGGGGGGCGCCUGGAAAGGGGGCCCUGCUCACCCUCCAGUGAUGACAGGGAGCCGACUGGUCCUGACACACAGAACACAGAGGGGAGGAAGCCAGCGUUGACCCCGCCUUUCCUGUAGGGAGGCACCGCCUGGCGACCAAGGAGUAGGUGAGGGGCAGCCUUUCUCUAUAAAAUGACUCCAGACGCUAAAUAAAGACGUCAGGAUAGCCCAGACUGGCUGGACUCUGCAGCCCCCAGGAAAUUAAUGCAGGCACCACGUCCUGGUGCAAGAGCACGACGACCAGCCUGAGCAAGAGGCCUUGAGGAACCCAGGGCCCCAGUGGACCCCAGGCUCUGACCGAGCUAACGGAGCUGUGGGGGCUGUGCCACCUCGAGCCCCCCUCCCACAACUGCUCCCAGGGCCUUCUGGAAGCCAAAUUGAGCCCCGACCCUCCCCAGGACUCCGCGGUGCCCCCCUGCCCCCCCCCGCACCCCUCCCCACAGGCUUGAUCGUGGAGUCCGGAAGCACCGCUCCCCAGCACCGCUCCCCAGCCUCCAGGCUCGAGGGUGCCCCAGGGUUAGUCUCCCUCCUCCCCAAGUAAGUGGUUUCUGGUUUCCCAAGUGAACCCUGACGGACACACCUCGCGCAGGCAUUCGUUAUAAUUAACAUGAUGUUACAAAAACCCUGAUUGUAAGGAUUUAAUUAGCCCCAGAUGUGGGCCUUCGGACCGCGGCCACCUCAUCAGGCCACUGCUCCCAAGAGGAGCCUGACGUUCUGAGUAGGGGUGGCAAGUGCCAGGUCCGAGAUCGGCCCCCAGUCGCGCCUGGCUGUCCACCCACCUGGGCUCUUGGUGCUCCCGCGACCUCGUGGCCACACCAUCCCCACACUUACCCCUCUGGCCCCGAUCGCACUCUGCGCAUCCCUCCUCUAGGCCUUCCCUGAAAGAGCCCUCGAAGACCCAUUCUGCCUGCCUGUCGCCUCCUCUGGGAAGCCCUGCUGCCGCCCCCCGGCCCCCCGCAUGGACUAAUCCCUCCCCCAGCUCUGAUCCCACUCUGUGUGACCACCACUCACGUAGGCGGCCACCUCCCCCACCAGCCUGUGAUGUCCUCCAGGCCUGACUCAUGUCCUUGUCCCCAGGGCCCAGCCCAGGGCGUGCACCGCCGGACCCCCAGCCUCAGAUGUCAAUCACGAAACCCCUCGGAUGGCAGAUGGCAAGGUCAAGGCCAGAGAGGGGAAGCAACAUGCCCCAGGGCAGAACCAGGAGCGCCCCCGGGUGGCCUGCCUUCUGGCUCUUGCCUUCCACCCUACAGCUCCUGGGAGGCAGCAAAGGAGGUGAGAGCAGGGAGGCCCCCCCGGAGGAGGCACUCGGCUCUCCCGAAGGCCGCCCCUAUCUCCCCAGGAAGAAAAAUGAAGACUUAAAUGAUCAUCUCUGAAAAGGCAAAGUCACAAAUAAAAAACAGCUUCGAGCCUGACGAUUGCCAUCUGUCGCAAAUGCCACCACAAAGACAAGACAAUCCAAGAGCGGUGCCUAUCCCUCGCGGGAGCUCGUUCCUAACCGGAGUGUGAGCCCUGGAAUCCAGGGAAGACCCAGGCUGCGGGCUUUGAAGACCACGGGGACCCUCGGCUCUGCCGGUCCCAAGCCGGGAAUCUAGGGCCGGGGCUUCCGAGGGGACCGAGGGGCCAAGCAGCCACAGGCCAUGCUCCCGGGCCGACCCCUGGGCCAGGGGAGACACACAGUAUUGGGCAAAGCAGGAACCCGGUCCCUGAGCGCACAGAGGACCCAGGCCUGACUUUAAAACACAAGGAUAGAGAACCACGUUCAACGCCACGAUGAUGCUGUGUAAGUCACCCCAAGACGCGGGGCUCACAGGUCAGCCCUCAGGCCGGGCUCUGCCGAUCUGACCUCAACCCUCCUUCUUUAUCCUUCCCCUUAGAAUGACAGCAACAGGUGCACCUGGGGGCUCAGGGGUUGAGUGUCUGCCUUCGGCCCAGGGCAUGACCCCAGGGGUCCGGGAUCGAGCCCUGCAUCGGGCUCCCCGCAGGAGCCUGCUUCUCCCCCUGCCUGUGCCUCUGCCUCUCUCGCUGUCUCUCAUGAAUAAAUAAAUAAAAUCUUAAAAAAAAAAUAUGUCAAUGUAUGGUCACUUUGUGCCCAGGUGCUGGCAUUGUGGGCCUGGGGGGAUGG